GUUACCAGCACGUUAUGGUGGGCGACUCUAAGGAGGACUGCCGGUGACAAACCGGAGGAAAGGUGGGGGAGUGACGUCAAGUCAUCAUGGCCCUUACGGCCUGGGCUACACACGUGCUACAAUGGUCGGUACAAAGGGUUGCCAAGCCGCGAGGUGGAGCUAAUCCCAUAAAACCGAUCGUAGUCCGGAUCGCAGUCUGCAACUCGACUGCGUGAAGUCGGAAUCGCUAGUAAUCGUGAAUCAGAAUGUCACGGUGAAUACGUUCCCGGGCCUU
rnacentral:rRNA from 1 species